AAAUCAUUCUCUUUAAAUUAAUAUAUCACAAAGACAAAAGGUUUUGCUGUCUAGUGAGACUUAAAGAUAUAUUGUAAGAAAAGAGCUAUUGAAUCUUCCACAAAAAAAUAGCUAAUACCAAAAUGUUUUCAUCCCACCGGUUACUUUCGCUGAUGGUGUUUGCUCUUCUCAUCAUCAUUCCUAUGAUUACUGGACAAGUAGUUAACUACGUUGAUCUGGACCGUUGUAAGUUGGGAUGUAAAAGCACACCAGAGUGCAAUCAACAAUGUAAGCUUAAAGGCGGAGGGCGUUGUCAACGAUAUCCUAGCUAUAUACAUCAGGGUCUUGAUGAUUAUUGUUGCUGCAAUAUUUCUUCUAAUUCUCCCAUCUCUAGUCCGAUCAUGAAUGAUUGAUCUCGUAUUUUAUGUGUACUCUCGAUCGAUUGUAAGAAUUAAAAAACAUAUAAAUUCUAAUAUAGUA